ACGUACACUUUAGGUAAUAAUAUGUACUUUUAUGGUACUAAUAUACACCCUUUAAGAGUAAAUAAGCAACAAAGGUGUACCUUUUGAAAAGG